rnacentral:rRNA from 1 species
AAUCAAAACUUUCAACAACGGAUCUCUUGGCUCUGGCAUCGAUGAAGAACGCAGCGAAAUGCGAUAAGUAAUGUGAAUUGCAGAAUCCAGUGAAUCAUCGAAUCUUUGAACGCACAUUGCGCCCGCCAGCAUUCUGGCGGGCAUGCCUGUUCGAGCGUCAUUU